GGGCGACGUCCGAUGAGUCAGCAACGACUGGACCUGUAAGAAAAGCUCCCACCGGAGGUGGUUCUAAUGAAGAGCCUCCGAUGCUCAAAUCAGAUUUUUCGUAGCAAGUGGAAAAGAGUGAACGUUUACGAAAGGGAGAAGAGGCAUACUGGAGAGUCUCUGUUUACCUCUUUAUAGAUAAGGUUGGAGCUUUAAGGAGAAA
rnacentral:lncRNA from 1 species